UCUGUAGCUCAGUUGGAUUGAGCGCUGCACUGGAAUCGCAGGGCCGCAGAUUCGAUUCCUGCCUUUUGAC
rnacentral:tRNA from 1 species